rnacentral:tRNA from 4 species
GAUAGCUCAGUCGGUAGAGCGACGGACUGUUAAUCCGCAGGUCGCUGGUUCGAACCCAGCU